UACGUAGGGAGCAAGCGUUGUCCGGAAUCAUUGGGCGUAAAGCGCGCGUAGGCGGCCCUGUAAGUCCGUUGUGAAAGUCAAAGGCUCAACCUUUGAAAGCCGAUGGAUACUGCGGGGCUAGAGUCCGGAAGAGGCGAGUGGAAUUCCUGGUGUAGCGGUGGAAUGCGCAGAUAUCAGGAGGAACACCAAUAGCGAAGGCAGCUCGCUGGGACGGUACUGACGCUGAGACGCGAAAGCGUGGGGAGCAAACAGG
rnacentral:rRNA from 1 species